CGGGACACGUGGUAUCCUGUCUGAAUAUGGGGGGACCAUCCUCCAAGGCUAAAUACUCCUGACUGACCGAUAGUGAACCAGUACCGUGAGGGAAAGGCGAAAAGAACCCCGGCGAGGGGAGUGAAAAAGAACCUGAAACCGUGUACGUACAAGCAGUGGGAGCACAGGUUUACCUGUGUGACUGCGUACCUUUUGUAUAAUGGGUCAGCGACUUAUAUUCUGUAGCAAGGUUAACCGAAUAGGGGAGCCGGAGGGAAACCGAGUCUUAAUUGGGCGUUAAGUUGCAGGGUAUAGACCCGAAACCCGGUGAUCUAGCCAUGGGCAGGUUGAAGGUUGGGUAACACUAACUGGAGGACCGAACCGACUAAUGUUGAAAAAUUAGCGGAUGACCUGUGGCUGGGGGUGAAAGGCCAAUCAAACCGGGAGAUAGCUGGUUCUCCCCGAAAGCUAUUUAGGUAGCGCCUCGUGAAUUCAUCUCCGGGGGUAGAGCACUGUUUCGGCUAGGGGGCCAUCCCGGCUUACCAACCCGAUGCAAACUGCGAAUACCGGAGAAUGUUAUCACGGGAGACACACGGCGGGUGCUAACGUCCGUCGUGAAGAGGGAAACAACCCAGACCGCCAGCUAAGGUCCCAAAGUCAUGGUUAAGUGGGAAACGAUGUGGGAAGGCCCAGACAGCCAGGAUGUUGGCUUAGAAGCAGCCAUCAUUUAAAGAAAGCGUAAUAGCUCACUGGUCGAGUCGGCCUGCGCGGAAGAUGUAACGGGGCUAAACCAUGCACCGAAGCUGCGGCAGCGACACUGUGUGUUGUUGGGUAGGGGAGCGUUCUGUAAGCCUGUGAAGGUGUGUCGUGAGGCAUGCUGGAGGUAUCAGAAGUGCGAAUGCUGACAUAAGUAACGAUAAAGCGGGUGAAAAGCCCGCUCGCCGGAAGACCAAGGGUUCCUGUCCAACGUUAAUCGGGGCAGGGUGAGUCGACCCCUAAGGCGAGGCCGAAAGGCGUAGUCGAUGGGAAACGGGUUAAUAUUCCCGUACUUGGUGUUACUGCGAAGGGGGGACGGAGAAGGCUAUGUUGGCCGGGCGACGGUUGUCCCGGUUUAAGCGUGUAGGUGUGUGUUCCAGGUAAAUCCGGUUCACUUUAACACUGAGGCGUGACGACGAGGCACUACGGUGCUGAAGCAACAAAUGCCCUGCUUCCAGGAAAAGCCUCUAAGCAUCAGGUAACAUCAAAUCGUACCCCAAACCGACACAGGUGGUCAGGUAGAGAAUACCAAGGCGCUUGAGAGAACUCGGGUGAAGGAACUAGGCAAAAUGGUGCCGUAACUUCGGGAGAAGGCACGCUGACACGUAGGUGAAGUGAUUUACUCAUGGAGCUGAAGUCAGUCGAAGAUACCAGCUGGCUGCAACUGUUUAUUAAAAACACAGCACUGUGCAAACACGAAAGUGGACGUAUACGGUGUGACGCCUGCCCGGUGCCGGAAGGUUAAUUGAUGGGGUCAGCGCAAGCGAAGCUCCUGAUCGAAGCCCCGGUAAACGGCGGCCGUAACUAUAACGGUCCUAAGGUAGCGAAAUUCCUUGUCGGGUAAGUUCCGACCUGCACGAAUGGCGUAAUGAUGGCCAGGCUGUCUCCACCCGAGACUCAGUGAAAUUGAACUCGCUGUGAAGAUGCAGUGUACCCGCGGCAAGACGGAAAGACCCCGUGAACCUUUACUAUAGCUUGACACUGAACAUUGAGCCUUGAUGUGUAGGAUAGGUGGGAGGCUUUGAAGUGUGGACGCCAGUCUGCAUGGAGCCGACCUUGAAAUACCACCCUUUAAUGUUUGAUGUUCUAACGUGGACCCGUUACCCGGGUUGCGGACAGUGUCUGGUGGGUAGUUUGACUGGGGCGGUCUCCUCCUAAAGAGUAACGGAGGAGCACGAAGGUUGGCUAAUCCUGGUCGGACAUCAGGAGGUUAGUGCAAUGGCAUAAGCCAGCUUGACUGCGAGCGUGACGGCGCGAGCAGGUGCGAAAGCAGGUCAUAGUGAUCCGGUGGUUCUGAAUGGAAGGGCCAUCGCUCAACGGAUAAAAGGUACUCCGGGGAUAACAGGCUGAUACCGCCCAAGAGUUCAUAUCGACGGCGGUGUUUGGCACCUCGAUGUCGGCUCAUCACAUCCUGGGGCUGAAGUAGGUCCCAAGGGUAUGGCUGUUCGCCAUUUAAAGUGGUACGCGAGCUGGGUUUAGAACGUCGUGAGACAGUUCGGUCCCUAUCUGCCGUGGGCGCUGGAGAACUGAGGGGGGCUGCUCCUAGUACGAGAGGACCGGAGUGGACGCAUCACUGGUGUUCGGGUUGUCAUGCCAAUGGCACUGCCCGGUAGCUAAAUGCGGAAGAGAUAAGUGCUGAAAGCAUCUAAGCACGAAACUUGCCCCGAG
rnacentral:rRNA from 1 species